UUCGGGCGCCGGCGAGUGGCGAACGGGUGAGUAACACGUGGAGACCUAUCCAUUGGUGGGGGACAACAGCUGGAAACGGCUGCUAAUACCGCAUAAUCCCUACGGGGGAAAGAUUUAUCGCCAUAGGAGGGUUCCGCGUCGGAUUAGCUAGUUGGUGGGGUAACGGCCCACCAAGGCAACGAUCCGUAGCUGGUCUUAGAGGAUGAUCAGCCACACUGGGACUGAGACACGGCCCAGACUCCUACGGGAGGCAGCAGUGGGGAAUAUUGCGCAAUGGAGGAAACUCUGACGCAGCGAUGCCGCGUGGGUGAAGAAGGCCUUAGGGUUGUAAAGCCCUUUCAGUGGGAACGAUGGUGACGGUACCCACAGAAGAAGCCCCGGCUAACUCCGUGCCAGCAGCCGCGGUAAUACGGAGGGGGCGAGCGUUGUUCGGAAUUAUUGGGCGUAAAGCGCGCGUAGGCGGUUUAUUAAG
rnacentral:rRNA from 1 species